AGACUCUAGAGUGAAGUGGAGUGACAUAAGCAGACUUCAUCAUGAUGGAGGAAGAGCCCCUUUCCCAGACAAAUGCUGGAAGAAAAGUAGUUGAGCUGUCUGAUCCAUUCAACCAGUCUUCAAGAGAGAAAGCACUUUUGCUCAGACCGAACCACGUGGUUGAUGAACAAUGGCUGUAUUGAUACUCAGUAGCCAUCACCCUUCUGGUACAGCCAGAUCCAACACUCUGAGUUUGAGCCUGUUCAUGCCCCUAAGUCUCCAACUGCAGCUCAAACGUCUCUCCUGAACUCCACACUCAGACAGCUGCCGCUGAACCGCCUACUGCAUACCUGGACCAUGACUGUCCACGAAGCACUUAAUCUCAACAACUU
rnacentral:lncRNA from 1 species